rnacentral:rRNA from 1 species
AACGUAGGUCCCGAGCGUUAUCCGGAUUUACUGGGCGUAAAGCGUGUUCAGGCGGUCUAGCAAGUCGGGCAUGAAAUCUCUCGGCUCAACCGGGAGGGGUUGUCCGAUACUGCUGGGCUUGAGGGCAGCAGAGGGUGGUGGAAUUCCGGGUGUAGUGGUGAAAUGCGUAGAUAUCCGGAGGAACACCAGUGGCGAAGGCGGCCACCUGGGCUGUACCUGACGCUCAAACACGAAAGCUAGGUGAGCGAACGGG